rnacentral:tRNA from 1 species
GGAGAGGUACCCAAGUUGGCCAAAGGGGGCAGACUGUAAAUCUGCUGGCGUUUGCCUUCACUGGUUCGAAUCCAGUCCUCUCCACCA